GACAGAGGUGCCGAGCGUUAGGCGGAAUCACUGGGCUUAAAGCGUGUGUAGGCGGGCGAUCAAGUACCUUGUGAAAUCCCACGGCUCAACCGUGGAACCGCUGGGUAUACUGGUUGUCUUGAGCCGGCUAGGGGCGAGCGGAACAGACGGUGGAGCGGUGAAAUGCGUAGAUAUCAUUUGGAACGCCAAUGGUGAAAACAGGUAGCUGGGGCUGUGCUGACGCUGAGACACGAAAGCCAGGGGAGCAAACGGG
rnacentral:rRNA from 1 species